AGUUAUAUGACAUUAAAAUGUCACAUGUAAGGAUAUGACAAAUGUAAUGAAUAUAUAAGGAAAUGUGGGCGUGGCUAACAACAAACCUCUGUUGCUAAGGAGAUCCAAAAGUUUACUUUUGUCGAUUCUUCGAAAAAUUACAUAAAACUGUUCAUCACCUCUAGGCAAGCAAAAAAUAAAACGGUUGCUAUGGAGAUAAACCUACAGAAAGGCUGCCGUCAUUUUUCUUCAAUUUGUCUUAUCUGACCAGCUCUGGUGCUCAACCGGUGGGGGCGGGUUGAAGCCUUCAGCUCACAAGAGUCUGUGAUCAAAAGCUUCAGAAGAAAAACACUAGAGGCUGCAGCUCACAUCUACACUGCAUGGAAAAACACAAAAGUACUUCAUUAAAUAGGAAAUGUGGGGAUUUCAAUGAUACAGAAUGUGAAGGGGCGGGGCCACCGUGAAACCAAACCCACCUGGAGUCCACCAGUUCAGCCCAAAGGUAAACCAUGAAAUGAUGCUGGGAAGAAAUCAAAGUAAAUCAAACUUAUUCACAUCAAGUAAUCAAACCUGAUUCUGUUAAAAUAAAUUAAAGUAAAUAAGAACUAAUCAAAUUACGUAAUAAACUUGCUUUAAUCAA